CAUCAGAUGAGAAAGACGCUUUAAGCAGGCUCAUUUUAAAGAAUACAGUGAAUCCUCCAUAUCUAUGGACUCUGGACCUAUUGAUUCAACAAACAGCUGGUUAAAAAUAUUUUAAUGUUUAGCUUGUUUUUAAUUAAAAUUACAGUUUUCAACCCCUCUCAAUAUGUUACUCUAAAUGUCACUAGAAAUACAACAUCACAAGCUAGCCUCUGGGAGGGACCUGCUUGCUGGCACUGACGCAGUGGCGUUGCUGGCAGCCCUGAUGUGCCCUUGGCCUGAUUAGCAGUGCGGAUGCCAAAGGGCUCUGAGGAUGGUCCCUGGCUACAUUGGAGCAGAUCCAGAGCAAAUAAAUCCAAUAAGUGUUGACAAACUAGUCUAGCUUCAUUCUAGGGAAGCACUGAGAGAAAAGAAGUAGGAAAACACCCCUAAAGACAUUUAUAUCUCUGAGGAAUCGGGACAGGCAAAACCAGACUGAGUAGUACCUUGAGCAGAAUGAAGUUUCUUUAUAUUUUCCUAUUUGUCAUGUUAUUGUUCCACCAGGUCUACCUGGACAAAUCAGGCACGGGGCGAUGUAGGAGAUUAAAGGGAGUUUGCCGACAUACACUUUGUCAUCCUGUGGAAGUCUAUGUUGGCCGAUGCAACAACGGAAUGGGAAAUUGCUGUGUUGAUGAUGCUGAAGACAUUAGGAAGUACAGACAGUAGAAUCCCAAUUGGCAAUGCCAGUGAAGAAGCAGGGAUAAACAGUCCAAAACAAUGGUUGUGAACUCCAUUGAUCAAGAGAGAAAGCAAAUAUUGGAUUCUAUGUUAUCAAAAUAAAUAUGAUUAAUCGUUCUGAACUUAUAUAUAUAUUUGUCCAGUUUUUUUAAAAAAAAUUCUUAAAAAUGGGGGGGGGGGGGGGCAGGGGCAAAAAUAACUGUCACACCCCAGAAAUUUUAUGGAACAUUAUCUGGAGGAAAGUCACUAUAAGAAUAAUAGAACCAUAGCAUUAUAAGGUUUAAAGGGCUGCAAGAGCCACUUAAUCCAACCCCACUCUGCCAUGCGAAGAUACAUGAUUAAAACAUUCUUGAAAGAUGCCCAUCCAGCUUCCAUUUAAAGACCUCCAAAGAUGGGGAGUCCACCACUCUCCAAGGCAAUCUAUUCCAUUGCCAAAUAUCUCUUAUAGUAAAAAGUUUUCCAUAAAGUGUAGGUCAGGGGUAUCCAAACAUUUAAAGCCGAGGGCCAGUUCACGGUCCCUAAGCCUAUUGGGGUGGCCAGACUAUAGUUUGAAAAACACAUGAAUGCAUUCAUAUGCACACUGUAUAUGUCUUAUUAGUAGUGCAAAAUAAUCCCCAUGAAAGAACAAUGCAAUAUAUAAAACGAAGAACAAUAUUAACCUACAUAAACAUACCAGUCUUUCAGUGGUAAGUGUGGACCUGCUUUUGGCUGAUGAGAGAGUCAAGUUAAUUAGGGUUGCUGUUGUUGUGUGCCUUCAACUCAUUUGUGACAGUGGCAUAUGCUGCCUUAAUGUCUGGUGGAGUCUCCUUCAUG
rnacentral:lncRNA from 1 species